GACGAACGCUGGCGGCGUGCCUAAUACAUGCAAGUCGAGCGAAUCACUGGGAGCUUGCUCCCGGUGGUUAGCGGCGGACGGGUGAGUAACACGUGGGCAACCUGCCUGUAAGACUGGGAUAACACCGGGAAACCGGUGCUAAUACCGGAUAAUUCUUUUCUGCACAUGCAGGAAAGCUGAAAGUCGGUUUCGGCUGACACUUACAGAUGGGCCCGCGGCGCAUUAGCUAGUUGGUGAGGUAACGGCUCACCAAGGCGACGAUGCGUAGCCGACCUGAGAGGGUGAUCGGCCACACUGGGACUGAGACACGGCCCAGACUCCUACGGGAGGCAGCAGUAGGGAAUCUUCCACAAUGGACGAAAGUCUGAUGGAGCAACGCCGCGUGAGCGAUGAAGGCCUUCGGGUCGUAAAGCUCUGUUGUUAGGGAAGAACAAAUACCGGAGUAACUGCCGGUACCUUGACGGUACCUAACCAGAAAGCCACGGCUAACUACGUGCCAGCAGCCGCAGUAA
rnacentral:rRNA from 1 species